rnacentral:rRNA from 1 species
AUGGGUGGUCUCAUAAGCAAUCAGAAUAUUGUCGGUAAUCAGUCGUCCAGAGACAAAGGCACUCUGGCUAGGAGAAAUGACCACAUCAAGCACCUCCUUCAUCCGACAAGCAAUCACCUUUGUGAAAAUCUUAAACACCACGUUGCAAAGGCUGAUCGGCCGCAACUUCUUAAGGUGGGUUGGAUUCUUGACUUUGGGGAUCAAGACAAUGACCGUUUUCGUUCUAGCCCACUGGUAUUUGGCCAUCGUUCAGAACCUCGAGAACUUCGCCCUGCACAACGUCCCCUACAAGAUCCCAGAAGCGCUUAUAAAAGACUGCUGGCAUGCCAUUUGGACCCGGGGCCUUCAAAUCACCCAUGGAAUUAA